UAUAAAAGUAAAAUGUCAAGCUCUAUAGGGUCUUCUCGUCCUAAAGAAGAAUUUAAGCCUUUUGACUCAAAAUUAAAUUCAAAAAUUUAUUAAGAGACAGUUGAUUUCUCGUCAAGCCAUUCAUUCCAGCCACUAAUUAAGAGACUAAUGAUUAUGCUACCUUUGCACGGUCAAAAUACCGCGGCUCUUUAAAAAUACGCUCAGUGAGCAGGCCAGACCUCAAAAUAUAAACAAGAGGACAUGUUUUUGAUAAACAGGCGGAAAUCAAUUUUGCCUAGUUCCUUAUAAUAAGUUCACAAGGUAAAAAUUUCAUACAAAUAAAUAUACUAAUUCUAUCAUUAUUACAAAAAUUUUAAAAUUAAAUUAAUAAUCUUAAUAAAAAA